rnacentral:rRNA from 1 species
AAUGAACGCUGGCGGCGUGCCUAAUACAUGCAAGUCGAACGAGAGCCAUUGUAGCAAUACGAUGGUUUCUAGUGGCGAACGGGUGAGUAACGCGUUGGUGAUCUGCCCCGAAGUGGAGGAUAACAGUCCGAAAGGACUGCUAAUACUCCAUGUGGCUGCAAGAGUUAGAGGUCUUGCUACCAAAGAAGCAAUUCGCUUCGGGAGGAGCCUGCGUCCCAUCAGCUAGUUGGUA